CUGAGUCCAAAGUAAAAGGAGAGGGGAAAACCUGUUGGUGAGAGUGCUGUUGCAGUCUGGUCGAGAGUGGUGAUUGCAGUCUGGUAGAGGGUGGUGGUUGCAGUCCAGUCGAGAGUGGUGGUCUGCAGUUUGGUUGAGAGCGGUGAUCUGCAGUCUUCCUCUGGAUCCCACGAGUGGUUCCAAAAGUCCCAAGACUCCAAGAUUAUACAUUCUCCAGUUCAGGCAGGAAUGCUCAGUACUUCCCUCAGGGUGGGGGGUUCCUCAAUGGGUGUGAGGACAAAAACACCCUUCUAUCUUGCAGGCCUCUUAGCACCUAAUUUGUAGCCUGAUGAGUCAGGCUGCUCUGGGCAGAGGGUGCAAAUAGUCUAUUGACAACAGUUUCUGGGAAAUGGCAUGGAAGGCUAUAGAAUACACAGUUUUGGGUUACACCCAUCCAGUGAUGAACUGGGCCCAGCUGUUCUAACUAGGACAUAGGGGUAUGGGAUGGGUCAAGAGGUGGGGCACAGGCUGGCACUGGAAGCCGCAUGGCUAUAAACCACUCAGCAACAGCCAGUGAAGGAAUGUGGCUGGACAAGUGCUCUGAACCUGGACAAAACCAGUUACUUUAGGUAACAAAGAGAAGAAGGAACAAGUAUCUAGUUUAUGUAAAAUGCACCAUACAUAAUGCAUUUGGAUGUAACCGGAGUUGCAGACCAAUGAAAAAUGAGCAAGGUAUAAAAACAGACCUAUAAAAUAGACCCCAAAAGGAGCAAGAAGAGGAAACCAUCAACAUCAACAUCAUAUUUUUCUGGUGAUCGACUCCACAUGCUAACAACACACCAUCCCCUCCCAUCAGAUAGAAACUACCACCAUCAAGAGACAGAAGACCUGUGGAAGGGUGAGCAUAGAAGCAGGAAACUAGUGGAAAAUGAAAAGUUUUAAAAUGCAUUCUUACUACUAUGGAGGGCUUUUUUAAUGUACAGAAGUAUUCUUCCUAUGUUAUAGUCAAAUCUGGAGUGUUAUUCUUGGAUUACACUGUUAAGAUUUCGAUUAUACUAGCAACAAAUUCUUGGGUUUAUAUAUGUAUAAAUAUAUAUACAUGUGCGCACAUUUCCGCUGAGCCUAUAAACAAGAACUUGGAUAUAAUAUUUAAUUUCAACUUCCUGCAGAUGGAAGAUUAUUCUGGAAUUUAAAUUUAGUCCUUUUGAUACAGACUAACUAAUGCAUUCAGCCCACAGGAAAAUCCAAAGAGGUAUUACAUCACUAAAAGAAGAGAACUGGAGACUUGAAAAAAUUUAAAAGAAGGGAAGGACCUAUUCUGGAAGAAACACCAUCACAUUACGGUACUGAAGCAAUAAAUCCUGUGCUCUGUCAACACACAAGGGGCGAAAGGGCUAAAAGGAGAUUGGAGUUUCCAGAAAUCUAUGUUAUACAGGAUUUGAACUCCUCUGCUCUUACCGCUUUGGUAUGGGACCAGUACCCCGUCGUGGACAAAGAUUCAUUGGUAGUUCAAUUUUAUUAACUAGUCCCCAGAGAGAAUUUAAGGGUUUGGGUUAAAAGGCAGGGAGGAAUCUACACUCAUUUCACCCACUGUGAGCUUGGGUAAGUCCCUUAAUUGCUCUAUGCCUCAAUUCUCUUUCUUUAAACAAAGGCAAAGUCACCAGGAUAAGUUCUAAAGGUGCUCUGCUGGUGAAAAGGUAGUGGUCAUCCAGACAAUACUAGCAGUGUAUUAGCAUCAGGACAAGGAAAAUAACAUUGUUUGAUCUGAAGUCUUCUUUCAGGAGACUUCUAGGAGGAAGAACAUUGGUCCACAAAAAGUGCUAUCUGAUAUUUUCUCAGCAUCUUCGCUGCAGAUUCCAAACUUUCUUGUUGUUCUUUCUGUAAUGAACUCUGGGAGCCUGGAAGAUGCACAUGCAUGUCUUCACACUCACACACACACACACACAGGGUUUUUUUUUCUAAAAUGUCCACAUAGAAGAGACUGUGAGCAUCAGAGCUGUGCAGAAAAAUGGAAAAGACCCAGGGAUUUAUAUUUAAGAGCAGGAGAAGAAUAGGGGUGGUGGAAAUCACUCAAGAAUAUAUUAUAGAUAACAAUCCUGUGUUGACAGAGGGAUGAACUAGGUGACCUAAUAAAAACUGUUGUUACAGAUUUUUUCACUUCUGUCACGUAAUAGAGGACUUCAGUCUCCAGAGCUGUCAAUCCAACAGCUUUCACUGGCAGAAGUAUUCACUCAAAAAUAAUCUUGGUAAAAGGAGAAAACCUCAGUUAACUGCUUGCCUGGGGCAGAUGGAAUGCAGCUAGAAGGCUUGUUUGGCAAGUAAUUAUAAAUGCACUUUUGCUGCCCAGGUGCAGGAAGCAUAGUUUAAGCUUUUACUCAUUAACGUCAUUAAAAUUUCCAUUUCAGCUGUUGCUUUGGCAUUGACAGUGCAUGCAAAAUUGUGACCAGGUCAAGGCAAAAUUGGCAGCAAGGCUGAUGCUGGGGACCAUGAGUUCAAUUGCUUAAAAGAGGCAGAAAAACACCAAUAAAAAUGUAAAAUGACUCAAUUGUACCUCCAUGCACUUUAGAUAACAGGAAGGGUGGCCUUGAGGACAGAAAGAAAUAGAGGAAAAGAAGGUUCAAGAACAUAGGAAAUGCCACGUGGGAUCUGGCCAAUUAUCAGUUAGGUUGGUAUUUUGUCUUUGAUACUGAUGGGCGCUAGAAGUUACAAAGGAAGACUCACAGGAUCUCAUGCUGGACAAUUAAGGAUUGCUUAGGGAAAUAUCUUCCCUAGCACCCUCAUUAGUGGUUAGCUGACAUGCUAUUGUGAAGCUAUGAAGCUUUUAUAUUCAUCAUUCGUAUCUUAACUUCUUCUAUUGUAAAUCUGGAAAAUUUCAAUAUCCGCAAAUAUCUCUUUCUUAUUUGAAUCCUUCCACACCCUGCACCUCAGAGAUAUCUUGUAGCAGAGAUUUCCACAGGUGAAUGAGGAUGCCUGAGGAGAAGUAUUCCCUCUGAUGGAAUACUUUCCCUAUCGCUCAGUUUAAUGAGAUAUGCCUUUGGUGCUGGAGUGUGAAAGACAAGGUAAAUAGGAGCACUGAAUCUUCUUUGUUACAUAAUUUAUUCUAACUAUUUUGAAUGCCUAUUUUAUUCAUAUGAUUUCUAAAAUAAAUACACCUGCCAUUUAAUUUGCUUCCUACAUGGAAAUCAUGCUAUUCCUUGAAACAAUUGUGUUGACUAUUUCUAGACCCUUUUGAUUUCUGCUAUAAUUUUCUUUGAAUACAGAGCUGAACACAGCAUUACGGACAGAAUGCUCUUUCAUACUGAUUUCACACCAUUUUUAGUGAGAAACUCCACCCUAUUCCCUAUGCAUGCCUCAUCAGAUGGAGAGAACUGUUUGACCACAGAGGAGCACAGUGCUACAAAGAUGUAGGAUGCAGCCCAGGAGAACAUAAAGCCUCUCAAAUUUUGAACCUAGGACCACAUAUGGAUACUUCAAAUGAAUCCUUCCAACAUGCAUUUGUUACCAGGAAACUUAACACCCUUAUGUGGUUGAUUACUCACAUCUUCCUCUAAGUUUGACAAAAAAUAUUUAGCAUUUGCCAGUGUCUCCACCUUACUGACUGUUUACCACAUUGUCCAUAAUCUACAAUAACAGAUAUUUCUAGGAGCUAGAUGCAAUGCUGCUAGUAAUAUUUUUCCGUGUUGGAAAUGGCAGACUUGAUGCUAAAUUAUGUAUUUGUUUUUGCAGAUGCUUAGCCAGCUUGUCUGCUUGCCAUGGCAUGAUGUUCUCAUUAAUAGAGUACCUGAUUGCCUACUCUCUUGUUUGGAUCCUGUUGAGAACGCUUUGAAAAUCCAAGUGAAAACAGUGACUCCUUUCAAGGAACUGGCCACUCAAGGGGAACUAUGGACCAGAUUGACUCCAGAAACUUCAAACUGUAAGUGCAUUUGCAAAAAGAACAAUCUGCCAAUUAAUGGCUCGAAAGAAAGGACAAAUUAAUCGAAUGAAUGAUUGAUUAUGAACUACUCUCCCAGUCCUUCAAAUCUCCAAAUGCAGUUGCAAGUCCUUUCUAACCCAAUCUCCUCAUCAAAUCUUGUCCCUUUUAAAAAGCUGUUGUAUUAUUUUCCUACAUUAUUCAUGUACUGAAAUAAACGUGUUGGUUAUGGAGUUGUCCCAUCUCCCUUUCCUUCUGCUGAAAAUAUUAUUUAACUUAAAGGUGACAGUUACGUAAUUUAAUCCUUGCCUUUCAUUAUUAAUGAAUUUUAGCAUGAAAAAUGUAGGCAUUUUCCCUAUUCUGCCAUAUAGAACAGAAUUAUGUCAGAUGGAAUUUUUUUCUCCUUUUUUGGAAGAAAUAUUUAUUAGAAACUGUCCUCCAUAGUGCUGACAGAGGAAGUUUAAAUGGAUAAGUAGUUUGUGCCUCCUUAUUUUUAGCCUUCUUGUUGGCUAUUUUCAAUAACAGACCUUUCCAGUGCCUUAUGGCCUGUUGGCUUGAGUCCUUUCUGGGAUGAUGGAUCUCUGCCCCCGCAAGCAAUUCUGAUAAAAUCAACAAACACAGUAGUGAAGGUGAGCUUGGCUAAAUCCUGAGUUCUCUCAUGAGUUUUCUCACUUGAGACGAGGCUAUAGUUCCUGUUUUACAUGUCUGAAAUGGAGCAUGGAGAGAUAAUAUGCCCAUUCACAACAUGAUUACCAGUGACAGCAGCCUAGAGUUUCUCGUGACCAGUCCCCCCUCUUCUCAGGAGACCACCAUCAUUUUCACAGCUGCCAGCUCCCCCAGGACAUGGAGCUGCCCCCACAUUCCUGGUUCCCAAGUGCUGUCUCCAUCUUUCCUCCUGCUUUCUGGUGUGAUUAUAUUCACUUCUGUUUGCACACACAGAUGGAGCUCAAUGGAUCCCUAAUAGCAUCAUUUACUUAAUUAACAUGCAAUUAGCUUAAUGAAUAUUUUAACCUCAUUAUGUAGUUACUCAUCUUAUCUGUUGCGGGUAAGUCUAGUGCCCAGCUCUGGACUGUUAUAAAGACAAGACAAAUUAGUCCAGUUCUUCAAUUAUGUUCAAGAGGCCUCUGUAUAUGGUUCUUUCUCCUUCCCUUUACAUGCCACAUCUAUGAUGGAAGGACUGGUGUUUAAGGAAGCAGAACAUGUCUUUUUCUUCAUCUUCCCGUGAAAAACUAGACAUUUCUUUAGAGAUGAGACAUAAGCAGAGGGUGGUGAUAUUAAAUUCUUGUAGGCGGCUACGUGUUGUUUCUGCUGACUUGGUCAGGAUGAAAGCACUAUCUAUGAGACAGGCUUUCCUGGCAGAGACAUCUCCUAGCUGUGGGGCUUUCAUAUUUUCAGCCUGCUGUAUGCUGUGGUGGUGUGGUGCACACUUGACAGUGGGACAAAUGCCCUUUUCCAUCAUGUUCUUCACACUCAGGAUUUGUACUUCAGCAGAAGCAUUACCUGCGCCUUGCAAUCAUGGGAUAGGUGUUCAUCAAGCCACUGACCAGCAUGUGGAAAACCAUCCUGAGGUUGUCAAAGGAACAACAAUUCUUUGAGCUCAGAUGAAGGAGGAGAAGUACUGUAGCAGGAAUGGAACAAGGAAGGGUGUCUGCUCUUUCCCUCAAGUGAUCCUCUUGGAUCACCCUCUUCUUCCAGGCAGGUAUCUUAGCAAAGUUUGGCAGGAGCCUGCCAUGAUGUGAACUUCCCAUCACUUCCUUCUCCAGGCAAUUAGUUUGUAAAUGCAGCUAGGGGCUGGGGGAAGAAAGUUUGCUUGAGGUAAGAGUGACCUCUUGAGCUGACUGAAAAGUAAUAUGAAAGAGAGACUUGCUCAGUCUUAUUAGAUGGGCAGAUAUCCUAACAGAUCACGUCUUCACUCUCUAACUGGGACACGUGUGUGAGGGAAAAUCUUGCUCCCACCAUCCUCUGGGAAAAAAACAAAACACAUUUCUGUGCUGACUUGUUUACUACUGGCAUCUCAGCAGCCCCCUCACUGACUCUUCCUUCUUGUUAUGACCUGGGGAAGGUAGUCAUGGAGGAAAGCAGGCUGAGAAGUCAUUUAGUCUCACUGGGAAUCCACACAAAAAGAGAGGAAUGGACUUCAAAUAUCUUAACAAAAAGAAAAUAUCUCUGGUAAAAUGCCAUUGGAAAGUUAAGAAAGCAGUGAGUACUAUUUCCUUUAGGCUAUCCUUUUUGUUGUUUUGAGUCAGCAAGGUUAACCAGAGAAAUAGAGCAGAAAGUUUAGAUAACUGGGAACAGCUACAGUUGGGUUUUCAAAGCCUUCCCACAAACUUCAAAGGAAAACAACAAGCCCUAUUUGCACAAUGCGUAGUCCUGCCUUCUUAACCUAAAACUGGCUGUGUAGAGAGGGAGAGAAGUGAAAUACUAAGGGGGUGUUGGCAAAGAAUAAGCACAGAAAUAAUGAGGGAUGUCAAUGACAGGAAAGCUGUGCUCCCUGCUCCGCAAAGCCAAGGUUCCUAUCCAGCAGGGCUGUCACGUGUCCUUCUUGGGUCUGCAUUUUUCUGACAGGGUCCACCUCCCUACCAAGACAGGCCCAGAGCUCUUGGUCAGCUAUUUCUGUCUCUGAUUCGGCAUGUCAUGUUCAAAUUCUGUCGAGGUAUCACCCAGCUCCUCUCCUCACAAAGGAGCAACCGUGUUCAACGAGGUAAUGAGCUGAGAAGAUUUGUGGGUGUGCAUAUUGCAGCAGGGUCAGCCCAUGCAAUCCAUGUAAAGAGCACUAAGUCUGCAUUAUUUGUCUUAAUCUAUCACUCUUACAGAAGCAGCUGUUACUGGGCCUGAAUACUUUAUCAACAGGACAAACACAGCUAGAACAGCCAUCCAUUCCAAAGCCAAGUGGACAGACUUGUAUUGCUCAGUGCUGUGACUGCUGAAGCCUGAAAAUCAGGUUAAAAUUCAUUUGUCCUCAUCCUUUGGCUUGAUUGAAGCAGCCUUGUGUUGCAGAGUUAGUUUAGUCCCCAUUUCAUCCUGUAGCUACCAUGAGUAGUUCCCUGUUCUUCCCCAGGACUAGGAGGGCCCUGUGUCCUUACUCCAGAUGACAGAAAAGUAUCUUUUCAGAGACAGAGGAGGUAACUGAUAAGAUCAAUGUGUUGCAGAACUUGAAAACCAUGAUCUCUGGUUGUCAUUGAUUUCUGCAUGGGGCUUCCCAAAAAGUUUCUAGUAACGUGGUGUAACUGAGCCAAAUUCUCAGCCAGGGUAAGCCAAAGUCAAACUGUCAAGUCACUGACUGCAGUGGACUUGAUACACUUCAGUUCCAGGUAAAUCUUUUUGCCUUGCAACACAAGGCAAGACACCCUACUAUGUUCAGGAAAAGGACUAAGCAUGUUGCUGCUGCUGGAGACAAGGCUGUAUCCAGCUGCCAAUAUUUGUGCAUGUGCCAGGGGGAGCAAAUGCCUCCUCUCCUCUAGGUCAAGAGGAUAAAGACUUUCAUUUUGGGUGUGAAGACCCCACCAUGUAAACUUUUUCAUGAUCCAUGUGACUUCAGAGCCAUUUAGGUGCUGGAACCCUUUGUGUGUGUAGCACAAAUGUAAAUCUGACCCAAAAGACUAACUGUUCCUUUUAAGAUGAUUUUUGGUUGUCUUUGUAGAAAGUUCACAGGGAUUCCACAUUCACAGCUCUGCUCUACAUCAGCUGGCAGGCUCAGAAGAGGCCAAAGGCUGGCACCCUCACUGCUGGCCCUGGCUGGGGAAUAAUGGCAGAGCCCUGUGUAAGAAGCCGUUCUUCUCCUAACCCCUUGAUAUAGAGAUGAUGAGAGGACUUUUUUCACCAGGGCUGUCAAUCCAACACUUUUCAGCAGCAGGAAUACUGUUUAGAAUAAAACAAUAGACCCAAAGUUGAUAAUCAGAUGUAAAUUAUGUACCAGUAUGCAGAAGGCGAAGAUAAGAUUUGCAUAAAAUGUUUGUAUGACAGUAGCUAAGUAUCCCUAAUUUUUUCCCAGAAGGUAUCGAAGCACAGAAAACAAUAAUUUCUUACCCAGCUCAUCUCCCCUCCUCUACCACAGCCCUCAGCCUGCAGUUCUGUAUUUGAGGGCAGACCAGUUCACCAGAGAGGUACCUCUUCCCCUUCCACAUGCUGGAGUGAGCAGCCUGCUGCAGGGAGGCUCAGGUCAGGCUUGGUGGCAGAGACAGCACUGUUGGUUUCCUUCCUCAGGAAUCUCUUUUCCAGGAGGGGAAGCCAUUAGCUAAGAAGGUGAAAUGAUUUGCUACUGCCCUUUUGUAUUUACAGAGCUUGUUCAACAACUGCUCUCUGUGGAGCCUAAAAUAGUCUUUUGAGGAUGGGAAAUGUCUCACCAGCUUCAAUCCAACAGCUAAGUCUUCUGCAAAAAAAGCAAUCCAGGGUGCCAGUUCUGGCAUAGCUCCUCCUCUGCAAGCAGGCAAGAGUUUCUCACAUGGUGGGGUACACUGGAUAUGUGCUUUGGCCAGUCUCCAGCUCAAAACACAGCUCUCCUGCUUCCACUGUCUUGUCGGAGUUUGGACCAGUGUUGGUCAGGGGUUGGGGUGUCUCCCAGAGCCAGUGGGGACUAUUCACCAGUGCUAAUGUGUAACCUAUAGGUUUAAGUGACUUAGCCAAAUACUGAUGCUUUGCAAUGUGGCUGCUGCACAUCGUUUGGUUUGCAGGUGGAGACCGCAGGUCUUCCCAAUGAGUGUAAGCAAAGUGGCUUCAAUGUUAGUGUCCUCGAUGCCUGCUUCUUGUGUUAGCUCAGGACUUAAGGUGCACCACUCGAAGGAUGCCAAUAGCACCCUUGCUUGAAGACUGUAGAGAUCCCUCCUGCAUGAUGUCAUCCAGCCACACUGUGCUCAUCAGGGCUGGCCACGUUUCAGACACUGAGAAAGACAGAGUGCAAGGAGAAAGGGUGCUCUUAGGAUGUAGGGGCUGCACGACUCAUUUCAAACCCUGAAGCAGUGUCACAAAAUGAAAGAGAGAAACCGGGGUUCCCCAGAGACGCCUGUACACACAUACACAGGUCUGACUCAUCUCUGGCUGCCCAGGGGCCCUUCUGUCACAUGGAAAAAAGCUGAGCUGUGUCAGUUGCAGCAGCGGCUGCAGCAGCAGCAGUGCCCUGCUCUUGUAAUUCACUGCCAUCUGCUUCUCUCAGUCAGAAUCUAUAGCUAUUUUCACCCCACCAGACGGUUUAAAACAUGCUCUGAUUUUUGUCUUCCAUGCAGUAUAUUAUUUACGAUAGUUCUGGACCAAUCUCAGCUGCAGUUCACCAAGGGAAUUAUUAGAGUAGUCCCACCUUUCUCCAACUCCAGCUCCAUGUAUAAGCUAUUUUCUUCCAACAGUUAUUGAUAUGUGUAAACAUGGCCUCUCUCUUCCUCUGCCUCUCUUUUUUUCUCUAUCUCUCUCUCUCCAACUGCAUGUGCGCAUAUAUGUGAACCAGGGCAAGAAACAAAAAAGAUGAUGCUUGUAAGAGAUUAGUUUGCAUGACACAGCUGGACAGCUUUCUUAGAGAAGGCUAGAUACUGGGAAUUUCCCCUUCAUCAGUGAUUGAUUGUCUCUGUGUCUUGGGGGAUUAGAAUUCUGCAUUUUGUGUCACUCUUGGCAAGUCUAAAAGUAACAAAAAUGCACCUGUGACAUGAAAUCAGGCCUAAGAAAACUUAUCAUUUCCUUCCUUGGCUUCAUAAAUGUGCCUAUUUCACUUGUAUUGCUGGUUACUUCAUUUAAGACAUACAGGGAUUGUGGCCUUUUUCAUCACAAAGCACUUGAUAAAGUACUUUAGAGAAGUAAGUACAGUGUUUGCCCAGGAUGGACAGAGGAACAUGGAUUAACUCCUGCAGUUUGUGCCCAAGACCACAAACCUUCCAUUAACCAAUAUUGUCUUCCAACAACUCUGAUGACAAUGUUUUUGUAUUCUUUCUGCCAUACAAAAUAUUUUUAGGUUGGUAUUAACCUGUCUGUGCUUAUGUGGGUGGAUGCAUAUGUGUGUGUAUAUUAUUACCCUUGGUAUUAACAAUUGCAAAAUGUACCUGCUCGAUUCACUUUAUAAACAGCAGAAAGUACAGAACAUCAGCGAGCUCUGCGCUGAACACAGCAUAGGCUGUGUACAUAGGAGGAACAAGGAAUCACAGCUAUGAAGAAUGUGUAAUAAUGCAUUCAUGUUAUUGCUUUUAAAAUGUAACAAUGAGGUUACAAUCUGUUUCUCUUUAAAGGCCCAUUUCAGUUCCUCUACAAUUUUGCCUGCGAAAUGUGUUUGGCUUGAAAAAGACCAGGCUGGCUCUGAAAGUAAGGGAUAUUUGUGCAACAUCUGAAGGAGAGCUUAUCAAACAAUAAUGGAGCAGUAGUUUAUUAAAGAUUUAACCCCUUUGACAUUUUCAUUUUUGUUUACUGUUUGUUCACAUCCUACUAGCUCACGGAUAUACUGUUUAUUGUCCUUCAGAUUUUCCGUAUCAUUAAUUCUGGCUGGAGGCUCCAGCAACAGCUGCAUUUGAAAAUACUAGAUUAUAAUUGAAAGAAAUUAUUAAUGAUUUUGUUGAUGUCCUCUUACUUUCUUAUUGAUUUCACUAAAAACCAUCAGCUUGAUAGUAUUCCCAUGGAGCCUAAACGGGAAGAGGGCAUAUGUGUGAAUGUCAUGAUUCCCUGAAGUUUAUCUGUGUGUGCUAAGGGCACAGAAGCCCUCUCUUGCUUGGGGUAAGCCACCCCCGUUCCCAACACUCCCCUGGCACAGUGAGAUUGCAUCAUGUGUACUGGUUACAGUUUAAAGGGCAGAAGAAUUUAUACAGGAUGGCCCAAUUAUCUGCAUCCUUACAUUUAAGUGGGAGGCUACAUUUGCAGCUACAAUAUAAUGAUUCCAGGUUCAGCUUUGCAGAUGAGAGUUUCUCUACCUUACUACAGACAGGGCUGGUUUCAUGCACAGGCAAAGCUCUUGGCUGCCGAAUGUGGGAGCCUGCCAGGGUCAACCAGCAGCCUGAUUUGCCUGAGCUGGAAGAUGUGGGAUGGCUGUAGCUGCAGCAGGCAUGAGCCAACUGUCCAGCCUUUCUCCCACAAGCUGUGUGGUAUCAAGGCGAUAGAAAAGAAGAAACACAUCCAGGGAGGGACCCACUUUGCUGCUGCCACGCAGUUGAAUUCUGCCUGCCCAAGGGUGAAGUGAAAAUCCUUGGGCUGCAAAAUUAAAUUUUACCUACCCUGCUGAUAAGCCUUGAGCCAACUCUGGUUGUAGAGGUAUCUUCACCUUCUUCUAGUUUGACUACAAAGAGAGGCCUAUUGAAAGAUUGAUUUUGAUCCCUACUAAGAAAAAAAAAAUUAAAAAAGGAGAAAGACAACAAAAUUCCUCUUGCUUCAAGAUUUUAUAUUUAAGUCUUACUGACAAUACAAUAUUUUCUGAAAGUGUUACUUGAGGAGGAAUAUUUUGAAUCUAAAAUCCUUUACGGUACAUCCAUUGCAAUAUGUUUGCCACUUUUUUUGUCAGCCUCUCUGGGUCCAACAUAAACAUAUUAUCCUGCAAAAUCUUAAAUAAAGGUAGGUUAGACACUGCUUUCGCAAGAAGCAAUUUGGUAAAUCAGGGAUGAUAAAUGUAGAACUGUGGUUUGAAAAUGUGAUUCUCCAU